GACAGAGGUCCCGAGCGUUAGGCGGAAUCACUGGGCUUAAAGCGUGUGUAGGCGGACUUGUAAGUACCUUGUGAAAUCCCACGGCUUAACCGUGGAACUGCUCGGUAUACUGCGAGUCUUGAGCCACUUAGGGGCUACCGGAACAAACGGUGGAGCGGUGAAAUGCGUAGAUAUCAUUUGGAACGCCAAUGGUGAAAACAGGUAGCUGGGAGUGUGCUGACGCUGAGACACGAAAGCCAGGGGAGCAAACGGG
rnacentral:rRNA from 1 species